ensembl:lincRNA 1700007M16Rik RIKEN cDNA 1700007M16 gene
CACUCUUCUCCUAGAAACCUUCAAAUGAAGAUGGAGAACUCUCAGCUCAGCCUGCACCAUGCCUGCCAUGUUCCCAUCUUGAUGAUAAUGGACUGAACCUCUGAACUUAACAAAGCAUGAUGACAGGAAGAAGGAAUCUGCUCAAGCACAUGGAUGUUGUGGUGGACAGUUGAACCACAGACACUUCACACGUACUGUCUGAAUCCAGGAGUCAGUGUUUAUAGAGGGAUCUCCAAGAAGACCAUCAAUAACAGUGGUGAUACUCAACAACAUGGCGACCACAUCAUUACUUACUUCUUGACAUGGGCUAUCUGGCCUCAAGUACAUUUUUGGACACUUCUGAUUACAGCCUUCUGUUAUUGGUUCCACAUUACCAAUGGGGAAACUGAGUCUUAGAGAAGUUAAGAAAGCUGCCUGAGGUGCUGUUAGGUAGUCUG